CGUGAAUUCAUCUCCGGGGGUAGAGCACUGUUUCGGCUAGGGGGCCAUCCCGGCUUACCAACCCGAUGCAAACUGCGAAUACCGGAGAAUGUUAUCACGGGAGACACACGGCGGGUGCUAACGUCCGUCGUGAAGAGGGAAACAACCCAGACCGCCAGCUAAGGUCCCAAAGUCAUGGUUAAGUGGGAAACGAUGUGGGAAGGCCCAGACAGCCAGGAUGUUGGCUUAGAAGCAGCCAUCAUUUAAAGAAAGCGUAAUAGCUCACUGGUCGAGUCGGCCUGCGCGGAAGAUGUAACGGGGCUAAACCAUGCACCGAAGCUGCGGCAGCGACGCUUAUGCGUUGUUGGGUAGGGGAGCGUUCUGUAAGCCUG
rnacentral:rRNA from 1 species